rnacentral:rRNA from 1 species
GACCGAUAGUGAACUAGUACCGUGAGGGAAAGGUGAAAAGAACCCCUAUUAGGGGAGUGAAAUAGAACCUGAAACUGCAUGCCUACAAUCAGUCCGAGCCUUUUUUAGGGUGAGGGCGUACCUUUUGUAUAAUGGGUCAGUGACUUAAUUUAUUAAGCAAGCUUAAGCCAUCUAGGUGUAGGCGCAGCGAAAGCAAGUCUUAAUAGGGCGAUUAGUUUAAUGAAUUAGACCCGAAAACGAAUGAGCUUACCAUGAGCAGGUUGAAAGUUGGGUAACACCAACCGGAGGACCGAACCAGUUGACGUUGAAAAGUCUUUGGAUGACUUGUGGUAAGGGGUGAAAGGCCAACCAAAUUCGUAGAUAGCUGGUUUUCCGCGAAAACUAUUUAGGUAGUGCGUCGAAUAAAUAGAUGUUUAGAGGUAGAGCACUAAAUGGGCUAGGGGGAAGAGAUUCUUACCAAACCUAAUAAAACUCCGAAUGCUAGACAUUGUUCUUCGGCAGACAGACUGUGGGUGCUAAGGUCCAUGGUCGAGAGGGAAAGAGCCCAGACCACCAGAUAAGGUCCCAAAAUCAUGAUUAAGUGUGAAAGGAUGUGGAAAUUCCAUAACAGCCGGGAGGUUGGCUUAGAAGCAGCCAUCCUUUAAAGAUAGCGUAACAGCUCACCGGUCUAAUAGAGUUUCUGCGCCGAAGAUGUAACGGGGCUAAAAUCAUGUACCGAAUCUGUGGCUUUGCAAAGUUUUCGGACUUUGUAAGGGGUAGCGGAACGUUCUGUAAGCCUGUGAAGGGAUACCCGUGAGGGAUCCUGGAGGUAUCAGAAGUGCGAAUGCUGACAUAAGUAACGAUAAACGAAGUGAAAAACUUCGUCGCCGAAAAUCUAAGGGUUUCUAUGCAAGGUUAAUCCGCGUAGAGUUAGUCGGCACCUAAGGCGAGGGCGAAAGCCGUAGUCGAUGGAAACAAGGUUAAUAUUCCUUGACCUGAUGGUAGUGACGGAUUCUGUAAGUUGUGAGUUCUUAAUGGAUUGAACUUGCCGCGAAAGAGUCCCAAGAAAUAGCUCCAUCAUUAAGACCGUACCCGAAACCGACACAGGUAGAUUAAUAGAGUAUAUUUAGGCGCUUGAGAGAAUGAUGUUGAAGGAACUCGGCAAAAUGCUUCCGUAACUUCGGGAUAAGGAAGACCCUUUUGUAGGCAACUAUAGAAGGGUGGCACAAGCCAGGGAGAAGCGACUGUUUAUCAAAAACACAGGGCUCUGCUAACACGUAAGUGGAUGUAUAGGGUCUGACGCCUGCCCGGUGCUGGAAGGUUAAUGCGGUUGGUGCAAGCUAACUUCUGAAGCCCCAGUAAACGGCGGCCGUAACUAUAACGGUCCUAAGGUAGCGAAAUUCCUUGUCGGGUAAGUUCCGACCUGCAUGAAUGGCGUAACGAUUUCUACCGCUGUCUCCAACAUCAACUCAGUGAAAUUGAAUUCUC